GGUGUGCCCGUGGCCUAUUUUUGGCACACGGAGGCCGCCCGCAAAGUCUGGGGCCAUUCCGAGUCCGGCGGACGAACUUCGCCCACGCCCCCCAUCAAGGCUAUAGCCCGCCCACCCGUUUUUUGGCCAUUUUUCCGCUGGGGGGUCUUGGCGCCCCGACCUUCGGGGGCUGAUUUUUGGGCGCGGGUGUGCCCGUGGCCUAUUUAUGGCACACGGAGGCCGCCCGCAAAGGCUGGGGCCAUUCCGAGUCCGGCGGACGAGCUUCGCCCACGCCCCCCACCAAGGCUAUAGCCCACCCUUUUUUUGGCCAUUUUUCCGCUGGGGGGUCUUGGCGCCCCGACCUUCGGGGGCUGAUUUUUGGGCGCGGGUGUGCCCGUGGCCUAUUUUUUGCACACGGAGGCCGCCCGCAAAGUCUGGGGACAUUCCGAGUCCGGCGGACGAACUUCGCCCACGCCCCCCACCAAGGCUAUAGCCCACCCGUUUUUUGGCCAUUUUUCCGCUGGGGGGUCUUGGCUCCCCGACCUUCGGGGGCUGAUUUUUGGGCGCGGGUGUGCCCGUGGCCUAUUUUUGGCACACGGAGGCCGCCCGCAAAGUCUGGGGCCAUUCCGAGUCCGGCGGACGAGCUUCGCCCACGCCCCCCACCAAGGCUAUAGCCCACCCGUUUUUUGGCCAUUUUUCCGCUGGGGGGUCUUGGCGCCCCGACCUUCGGGGGCUGAAUUUUGGGCGCGGGUGUGCCCGUGGCCUAUUUUUGGCACACGGAGGCCGCCCGCAAAGUCUGGGGCCAUUCCGAGUCCGGCGGACGAACCUCGCCCACGCCCCCCACCAAGGCUAUAGCCCACCCGUUUUUUGGCCAUUUUUCCGCUGGGGGGUCUUGGCGCCCCGACCUUCGGGGGCUGAUUUUUGGGCGCGGGUGUGCCCGUGGCCUAUUUUUGGCACACGGAGGCCGCCCGCAAAGUCUGGGGCCAUUCCGAGUCCGGCGGACGAACUUCGCCCACGCCCCCCACCAAGGCUAUAGCCCACCCGUUUUUUGGCCAUUUUUCCGCUGGGUGGUCUUGGCGCCCCGACCUUCGGGGGCUGAAUUUUGGGCGCGGGUGUGCCCGUGGCCUAUUUUUGGCACACGGAGGCCGCCCGCAAAGUCUGGGGCCAUUCCGAGUCCGGCGGACGAACUUCGCCCACGCCCCCCACCAAGGCUAUAGCCCACCCGUUUUUUGGCCAUUUUUCCGCUGGGGGGUCUUGGUGCCCCGACCUUCAGGGGCUGAAUUUUGGGCGCGGGUUUGCCCGUGGCCUAUUUUUGGCACACGGAGGCCGCCCGCAAAGUCUGGGGCCAUUCCGAGUCCGGCGGACGAACUUCGCCCACGCCCCCCACCAAGGCUAUAGCCCACCCGUUUUUUGGCCAUUUUUCCGCUGGGGGGUCUUGGCGCCCCGACCUUCGGGGGCUGAAUUUUGGGCGCGGGUGUGCCCGUGGCCUAUUUUUGGCACACGGAGGCCGCCCGCAAAGUCUGGGGCCAUUCCGAGUCCGGCGGACGAACUUCGCCCACGCCCCCCACCAAGGCUAUAGCCCACCCGUUUUUUGGCCAUUUUUCCGCUGGGGGGUCUUGGCGCCCCGACCUUCGGGGGCUGAUUUUUGGGCACGGCUGUGCCCGUGGCCUAUUUUUGGCACACGGAGGCCGCCCGCAAAGUCUGGGGCCAUUCCGAGUCCGGCGGACGAACUUCGCCCACGCCCCCCACCAAGGCU
rnacentral:lncRNA from 1 species